UACAGAGGUCUCAAGCGUUGUUCGGAUUCAUUGGCGUAAAGGGUGCGUAGGCGGCGCGGUAAGUCGGGUGUGAAAUCUCGGAGCUUAACUCCGAAACUGCAUUCGAUACUGCCGUGCUUGAGGACUGGAGAGGAGACUGGAAUUUACGGUGUAGCGGUGAAAUGCGUAGAUAUCGUAAGGAAGACCAGUGGACGAGGCGGGUCUCUGGACAGUUCCUGACGCUGAGGCACGAAGGUCAGGGGAGCAAACGGGAUUAUGAGUACCCCCCUGUCAAGACCGAAG
rnacentral:rRNA from 1 species